rnacentral:rRNA from 1 species
GACGAACGCUGGCGGCGUGCCUAAUACAUGCAAGUCGAGCGAAGUUUUUCUGGUGCUUGCACUAGAAAAACUUAGCGGCGAACGGGUGAGUAACACGUAAAGAACCUGCCUCAUAGACUGGGACAACUAUUGGAAACGAUAGCUAAUACCGGAUAACAGUAUUUCUCGCAUGAGAGAUAUUUAAAAGUUGGUUAUGCUAACACUAUGAGAUGGCUUUGCGGUGCAUUAGCUAGUUGGUGGGGUAAAGGCCCACCAAGGCGACGAUGCAUAGCCGACCUGAGAGGGUGAUCGGCCACACUGGGACUGAGACACGGCCCAGACUCCUACGGGAGGCAGCAGUAGGGAAUCUUCCGCAAUGGGCGAAAGCCUGACGGAGCAACGCCGCGUGAGUGAAGAAGGAUUUCGGUUCGUAAAGCUCUGUUGUUAGGGAAGAAUGGAUAUGUAGUAAUUAUACAUAUAAGAGACGGUACCUAACCAGAAAGCCACGGCUAACUACGUGCCAGCAGCCGCGGUAAUACGUAGGUGGCAAGCGUUGUCCGGAAUUAUUGGGCGUAAAGCGCGCGCAGGUGGUUUAAUAAGUCUGAUGUGAAAGCCCACGGCUCAACCGUGGAGGGUCAUUGGAAACUGUUAAACUUGAGUGCAGGAGAGAAAAGUGGAAUUCCUAGUGUAGCGGUGAAAUGCGUAGAGAUUAGGAGGAACACCAGUGGCGAAGGCGGCUUUUUGGCCUGUAACUGACACUGAGGCGCGAAAGCGUGGGGAGCAAACAGG